rnacentral:tRNA from 1 species
GCCGAAGUGGUGGAAUUGGUAGACGCGCCGGACUCAAAAUCCGGUAUCCGCGAGGGUGUGAGGGUUCGAUUCCCUCCUUCGGCACCA